CCUACGGGAGGCAGCAGUGGGGAAUAUUGGACAAUGGGCGAAAGCCUGAUCCAGCCAUGCCGCGUGUGUGAAGAAGGUCUUCGGAUUGUAAAGCACUUUAAGUUGGGAGGAAGGGCAGUAAGUUAAUACCUUGCUGUUUGACGUACCAACAGAAUAGCCCGC
rnacentral:rRNA from 1 species